rnacentral:miRNA from 1 species
GCAAUGCAGACUCCAGGGCCC